rnacentral:rRNA from 1 species
UACGUAGGGGGCGAGCGUUUGUCCGGAGUUACUGGGCGUAAAGCGCUUGUAGGCGGUCCACCAAGUUUGGGGUGACAGUUGCCGACUUAAUCGGCAAAGUGCCUCAAAGACUGGCGGACUUGAGGGCCACAGAGGGACAUGGAACUCCAGGUGUAGUGGUGAAAUGCGUAGAUAUCUGGAAGAACACCAAAGGCGAAGGCAGUGUCCUGGGUGGUCGCUGACGCUGAGAGGCGAAAGCCAGGGGAGCGAACGGG